UACGGAGGGGGCUAGCGUUGUUCGGAAUUACUGGGCGUAAAGCGCACGUAGGCGGCUUUGCAAGUCAGAGGUGAAAGCCCGGGGCUCAACCCCGGAAUAGCCUUUGAGACUGCAUCGCUUGAACAUCGGAGAGGUAAGUGGAAUUCCGAGUGUAGAGGUGAAAUUCGUAGAUAUUCGGAAGAACACCAGUGGCGAAGGCGACUUACUGGACGAUUGUUGACGCUGAGGUGCAAAAGCGUGGGGAGCAAACAGG
rnacentral:rRNA from 1 species